rnacentral:rRNA from 1 species
AUUGAACGCUGGCGGAAUGCUUUACACAUGCAAGUCGAGCGGCAGCGCGGGGCAACCUGGCGGCGAGCGGCGAACGGGUGAGUAACAUAUCGGAACGUACCCAGUCGUGGGGGAUAACUAUCCGAAAGGAUAGCUAAUACCGCAUACGACCUGAGGGUGAAAGCGGGGACCGAAAGGCCUCGCGCGAUUGGAGCGGCCGAUAUCGGAUUAGCUAGUUGGUGAGGUAAAGGCUCACCAAGGCGACGAUCCGUAGCUGGUCUGAGAGGACGACCAGCCACACUGGAACUGAGACACGGUCCAGACUCCUACGGGAGGCAGCAGUGGGGAAUUUUGGACAAUGGGGGGCAACCCUGAUCCAGCCAUUCCGCGUGAGUGAAGAAGGCC